rnacentral:rRNA from 1 species
CCUACGGGUGGCAGCAGUGAGGAAUAUUGGUCAAUGGACGAGAGUCUGAACCAGCCAAGCCGCGUGAAGGAUGACUGCCCUAUGGGUUGUAAACUCCUUUUAUAAAGGAAUAAAACGAGGCACGUGUGCCUUUCUGCAUGUACUUUAUGAAUAAGGAUCGGCUAACUCCGUGCCAGCAGCCGCGGUAAUCCGGAGGUUCCGAGGGUUAUACGGAUUUAUUGGGUUUAAGGGGAGCGUAGAUGGGUGGUUAAGUCAGUUGUGAAAGUUUGCGGCUCAACGGUGAAAUUGCAAUUGAUACUGGCAGUCUGGAGUACAGUUGAGGUAGGCGGAAUUCGUGGUGUAGCGGUGAAAUGCUUAGAUAUCACGAAGAACCCCGAUUGCGAAGGCAGCUUACUAAACUGUGACUGACAUUGAUGCUCGAAAGUGUGGGUAUCAAACAGGAUUAGAUACCCGAGUAGUC